rnacentral:rRNA from 1 species
CUCGGGUGGCAGCAGUGGGGAAUAUUGGACAAUGGGCGAAAGCCUGAUCCAGCCAUGCCGCGUGUGUGAAGAAGGCCUUCGGGUUGUAAAGCACUUUCAGUGGGGAAGAAAGCCUUGGGGCUAAUACCCUCGAGGAAGGACAUCACCCACAGAAGAAGCACCGGCUAACUCCGUGCCAGCAGCCGCGGUAAUACGGAGGGUGCGAGCGUUAAUCGGAAUUACUGGGCGUAAAGCGCGCGUAGGCGGUCUGAUAAGCCGGUUGUGAAAGCCCCGGGCUCAACCUGGGAACGGCAUCCGGAACUGUCAGGCUAGAGUGCAGGAGAGGAAGGUAGAAUUCCCGGUGUAGCGGUGAAAUGCGUAGAGAUCGGGAGGAAUACCAGUGGCGAAGGCGGCCUUCUGGACUGACACUGACGCUGAGGUGCGAAAGCGUGGGUAGCAAACAGGAUUAGAUACCCCAGUAGUC